AAACUUAAGAGUUUGAUCCUGGCUCAGAUUGAACGCUGGCGGCAUGCUUUACACAUGCAAGUCGAACGGCAGCACGAGUGCUUGCACUUGGUGGCGAGUGGCGAACGGGUGAGUAAUGCAUCGGAACGUGUCUUAAAGUGGGGGAUAACGCAUCGAAAGAUGUGCUAAUACCGCAUAUACUCUGAGGAGGAAAGUAGGGGAUCGAAAGACCUUACGCUUUGAGAGCGGCCGAUGUCUGAUUAGCUAGUUGGUAAGGUAAAGGCUUACCAAGGCGACGAUCAGUAGUUGGUCUGAGAGGACGACCAGCCACACUGGGACUGAGACACGGCCCAGACUCCUACGGGAGGCAGCAGUGGGGAAUUUUGGACAAUGGGCGCAAGCCUGAUCCAGCAAUGCCGCGUGAGUGAAGAAGGCCUUCGGGUUGUAAAGCUCUUUCAGUUGAGAAGAAAAAGUCGUGACUAAUAAUCAUGAUUCAUGACGGUAUCAACAGAAGAAGCACCGGCUAACUACGUGCCAGCAGCCGCGGUAAUACGUAGGGUGCAAGCGUUAAUCGGAAUUACUGGGCGUAAAGGGUGCGCAGGCGGUUCUGUAAGUCAGAUGUGAAAUCCCCGGGCUUAACCUGGGAACUGCGUUUGAAACUGCAGAGCUAGAGUGCAGCAGAGGGAGGUGGAAUUCCAUGUGUAGCAGUGAAAUGCGUAGAGAUAUGGAAGAACAUCGAUGGCGAAGGCAACCUCCUGGGCUAGCACUGACGCUCAUGCACGAAAGCGUGGGGAGCAAACAGGAUUAGAUACCCUGGUAGUCCACGCCCUAAACUAUGUCAACUAGUUGUCGGGUCUUAUUAGACUUGGUAACGUAGCUAACGCGUGAAGUUGACCGCCUGGGGAGUACGGUCGCAAGAUUAAAACUCAAAGGAAUUGACGGGGACCCGCACAAGCGGUGGAUUAUGUGGAUUAAUUCGAUGCAACGCGAAAAACCUUACCUAC
rnacentral:rRNA from 1 species